UACGUAGGGUGCAAGCGUUAAUCGGAAUUACUGGGCGUAAAGCGUGCGCAGGCGGUUAUGCAAGACAGAGGUGAAAUCCCCGGGCUCAACCUGGGAACUGCCUUUGUGACUGCAUAGCUAGAGUACGGUAGAAGGGGAUGGAAUUCCGCGUGUAGCAGUGAAAUGCGUAGAUAUGCGGAGGAACACCGAUGGCGAAGGCAAUCCCCUGGGCCUGCACUGACGCUCAUGCACGAAAGCGUGGGGAGCAAACAGG
rnacentral:rRNA from 1 species